CAGGAAUCUAACGCCUUUGGGUAAUGCUUGAUGGACUUCACGACAUUUAUAAUCAGAAAAUAUGCGGAGAUCGCAGGCAAUGCGAGAGUCCUGCAGAAGAAAACGCCGCAGACGGACAUCAGGAGAAGAGUCUGACAGCUGCUCAGUGAAAUCAUGGCUUUCUGCAGAUGUUUAAAUCAGAGUAAACGAUGUACACAGGGACUUCCGGUGUUGACAUGAGCCUGCCUUUGUUUUUCCAACACUCUUUUGCGACAUGCCAGCUUCAUCAUUCCCCCUCCGUAUGCAGACUCCCUCGUGUUGGCAUUGUAUUGCCAACAAAGCUCAGGCAUGAUAAAUUGUUAAAGCUCCAGAUAUCCUCUUGCCACAGGGCUGCUCUGUCAGAGGACGAGCUGUCAAACAUGGUUGUGGGAAGGCGGCCGUGAAAAGCGAAGGCUGUCUGGUGCUGCUACUGUCUGAAGGGUAUCACACAUGCUGGUCAAACGAGGGCACACACACACACACACACACACAGCAGCAGUGGACAGUGAGUAUUUGUGCUUUGCUGAAAUGCCAUAGCAUGCAUGCAUUUCAAUGCAUUUUAUUUUGUUGAGCAGAUGUGUAUAAUAAA